rnacentral:rRNA from 1 species
AGAGUUUGAUCAUGGCUCAGAAUCAACGCUGGCGGCGCGCUUAACACAUGCAAGUCGCACGAGAAAGGGAGCAAUCCCAAGUAAAGUGGCGUACGGGUGAGUAACACGUGGAUCAUCUACCUCUUGGUGGGGAAUACCCCCGGGAAACUGGGGACAAUACCGCAUAAGCCUGUGAAGGGAAAGCAGCAAUGCGCCGAGAG